rnacentral:rRNA from 1 species
AUUGAACGCUGGCGGCAGGCUUAACACAUGCAAGUCGAACGGUAACAUAAAGAAGCUUGCUUCUUUGAUGACGAGUGGCGGACGGGUGAGUAAUGCUUGGGAAUCUAGCUUAUGGAGGGGGAUAACUACGGGAAACUGUAGCUAAUACCGCGUAGAAUCGAGAGAUGAAAGUGUGGGACCUUCGGGCCACAUGCCAUAGGAUGAGCCCAAGUGGGAUUAGGUAGUUGGUGAGGUAAAGGCUCACCAAGCCGACGAUCUCUAGCUGGUCUGAGAGGAUGACCAGCCACACUGGGACUGAGACACGGCCCAGACUCCUACGGGAGGCAGCAGUGGGGAAUAUUGCGCAAUGGGGGCAACCCUGACGCAGCCAUGCCGCGUGAAUGAAGAAGGCCUUCGGGUUGUAAAGUUCUUUCGGUAGCGAGGAAGGCAUUUAGUUUAAUAAACUAGGUGAUUGACGUUAACUACAGAAGAAGCACCGGCUAACUCCGUGCCAGCAGCCGCGGGUAAUACGGAGGGUGCGAGCGUUAAUCGGAAUAACUGGGCGUAAAGGGCACGCAGGCGGUGACUUAAGUGAGGUGUGAAAGCCCCGGGCUUAACCUGGGAAUUGCAUUUCAUACUGGGUCGCUAGAGUACUUUAGGGGAGGGGUAGAAUUCCACGUGUAGCGGUGAAAUGCGUAGAGAUGUGGAGGAAUACCGAAGGCCGAAGGCAGCCCUCUUGGGAAUGUACUGACGCUCAUGUGCGAAAGCGUGGGGAGCAAACAGGAUAAGAUACCCUUGUAGUCCAGGCGAAUUCCACAGUGGAUAUCAAGCUUAUCGAUACCGUCGACCUCGAGGGGGGGCCCGUUACCUAGUUUUUGUCACAUUAGUGAGGUGUUAAUUACGG